rnacentral:rRNA from 1 species
GACGAACGCUGGCGGCGUGCCUAACACAUGCAAGUCGAGCGAGGAGAGUUCCUUCGGGAACAAACCUAGCGGCGGACGGGUGAGUAACACGUGGGCAACCUGCCUUGUAGAGGGAAUAGCCUUCCGAAAAGGAAGAUUAAUACCGCAUAACAUUACAGUUUCGCAUGAAACAGUAAUUAAAGGAGCAAUCCGCUACAAGAUGGGCCCGCGGCGCAUUAGCUAGUUGGUGAGGUAACGGCUCACCAAGGCGACGAUGCGUAGCCGACCUGAGAGGGUGAUCGGCCACAUUGGGACUGAGACACGGCCCAGACUCCUACGGGAGGCAGCAGUGGGGAAUAUUGCACAAUGGGGGAAACCCUGGUGCAGCAACGCCGCGUGAGUGAUGAAGGUUUUCGGAUCGUAAAGCUCUGUCUUCGGGGACGAUAAUGACGGUACCCGAGGAGGAAGCCACGGCUAACUACGUG